rnacentral:rRNA from 1 species
CUGCUGCCUCCCGUAGGAGUUUGGACCGUGUCUCAGUUCCAAUGUGGGGGACCUUCCUCUCAGAACCCCUAUCCAUCGAAGACUAGGUGGGCCGUUACCCCGCCUACUAUCUAAUGGAACGCAUCCCCAUCGUCUACCGGAAUACCUUUAAUCAUGUGAACAUGCGGACUCAUGAUGCCAUCUUGUAUUAAUCUUCCUUUCAGAAGGCUGUCCAAGAGUAGACGGCAGGUUGGAUACGUGUUACUCACCCGUGCGCCGG